rnacentral:tmRNA from 1 species
UGAUGCAGCGGGCUGGUCCAAAGUCGGUGCUCAGCGGCUGCGGACGAGAACUUUCUGGGCUAGUGGCUGUUCUAAGCCUGCCGAUGGGCGUGGAUGGCUGCGAAACUUAAAUUGUCGGCUACACAUGUAGACACAGUGCACUGACGGUCUUCGGACAGGGGUUCAACUCCCCUCGCCUCCACCA